AGUGAACGCUGGCGGUAGGCCUAACACAUGCAAGUCGAACGGCCGCACAGUAAGAGCUUGCUCUUACGGGUGGCGAGUGGCGGACGGGUGAGGAAUACAUCGGAAUCUACUUUUUCGUGGGGGAUAACGUAGGGAAACUUACGCUACUACCGCAUACGUCCUACGGGUGAAAGCAGGGGAUCUUCGGACCUUGCGCGAUUGUAUGAGCCGAUGUCGGAUUAGCUAGUUGGCGGGGUAAAGGCCCACCAAGGCGACGAUCCGUAGCUGGUCUGAGAGGAUGAUCAGCCACACUGGAACUGAGACACGGUCCAGACUCCUACGGGAGGCAGCAGUGGGGAAUAUUGGACAAUGGGCGCAAGCCUGAUCCAGCCAUACCGCGUGGGUGAAGAAGGCCUUCGGGUUGUAAAGCCCUUUUGUUGGGAAAGAAAAGCAGCAGGUUAAUACCCCGCUGUUCUGACGGUACCCAAAGAAUAAGCACCGGCUAACUUCGUG
rnacentral:rRNA from 1 species